AUUAAGGUGGCAGAUCAGUGCAUAGAAUUUAAGCUUCUAUUAGAGAAUUUAUAUUCUUCUUAAUA
rnacentral:tRNA from 1 species